UACGAAGGGGGCUAGCGUUGUUCGGAAUUACUGGGCGUAAAGCGCACGUAGGCGGGCGAUUAAGGCAGGGGUGAAAUCCCGGAGCUCAACUCCGGAACUGCCUUUGAUACUGGUCGUCUAGAGAUCGGAAGAGGUGAGUGGAAUUCCCAGUGUAGAGGUGAAAUUCGUAGAUAUUGGGAAGAACACCGGUGGCGAAGGCGGCUCACUGGUCCGAUACUGACGCUGAGGUGCGAAAGCGUGGGGAGCAAACAGG
rnacentral:rRNA from 1 species